rnacentral:lncRNA from 1 species
GCGCGAAUGGGUUGUAGGACAUGAAAACAAUAUGGCACUAGACUUAUCAGACGAACACAAGGACACUCGAAAAUAAGGGUAGAUGUGAACCUAACGGUAUGUCUGAUGCUUUGAUUACCAAUUGAGGAGAACAAGUGUGGCCCGAUAUUCCGAAAGGUUCUGGUAACUAUCGAUUUGGUGGAAACGAGACACAAAUCAAUCCAGCUUGCGAACAACACGAUUCGAAACCCUACAAUUCUUUUUAUUUUUUUUGAUAUUUUUCUUUUACUUAGGAGCACUCAAGAAGUAACCACAGGAAAUUUGAGCUUAAACAAGUGAAAGACCUGACCUGUGGAAAGUUUUGAAAAUUGCUAAAAAUAUGAAAAAAAGUUUUGGAGGUGAAAACUCAAACUUUAGAGGCGAAUUUGGGGAUUCUAAAAUUGUCAAACCCGCACACGGUGGGGAUAGACAGAUCAGAAAAUUUGGUUUGAUCGAUUUUAAUAUAUGGAACGUCAAAAUCGGAGCUCGUAUGCGAAAAUUAUGGCUGUUUUACGAACGGACACCGAAUUAGAAGACAAAACGGUCCGGAUGUGGGAAAAACUUGCGGCGGUGGCUAGAAAUUGAUGGAAACGGUGGGAAGAAACACACAAAUUGGACUCUAACAAGACCUAACCAGUAACAAGACCUCGACCAGGACACAAACUCAACACUACGGACUCAGAAACUGAAAUAUGCAAAGGCUAUGGCGCGGAUGGGUUGUAGGAUAUGAAAACAAUAUGGCACUAGACUUGUGAGACGAACACAAGGACACUCGAAACUAAGUGUAGAUGUGAACCUAACGGUAUGUCUGAUGCUUUGGUUACCACUUGAGGAGAACAAGUGUGGCCCGAUCUUCCGAAAGGUUCUAGUAACUAUCGAUUUGGUGGAAACGAGACACAAAUCAAUCCAGCUUGCGAACAACACGAUUCGAAACCCUACAAUUAUUUUUAUUUUUUUUUGAUAUUUUUCUUUUACUUAGGAAACUCAUGAAGUAACCACACGAAAUUUGAGCUUAAACAAGUGAAAGACGUGGCCUGUAGAAUUUUUUGAAGAUUGCAAAAAAUAUAAAAAAACUUUAGGAGGUGAAAACUCAAAUUUCAGGGGCAAAUUUGGGGAUUCUAAAUUAUCGAACCCGCCUCUAGCGGAGAUAUAUAGAUCCAAAAAUUUGUUCCGAUCGAUUUUGAUAUAUGGAACGUCAAAAUCGGAGUUCGUAUGCGAAAGUUAUGGCUGUUUUACGAACGGACUCCGAAUUAGAGGACAAAACGGUCCGGAAGUGGGAAAAAUUUGCGGUGGUGGCUAGAAAUUGAUGGAAAUGGUGGGAAAAAACACACAAACUGGACUCUAACAAGACCAAAUCAGUAACAAGACCUCAACCAGGACAGAAACUUAACACUACGGACUCUGAAACUGAAAUAUGCAAAGUUUAUGGCGUGGAUGGGUUGUAGGACAUGAAAACAAUUUGGCACUAGACUUAUGGGACGAACACAAGGACACUCGAAACUGAGGGUAGAUGUGAACCUAAUGGUACGUCUAAAGCUUUGAUUACCACUUGAGGAGAACAAGGCCCGAUCUUGUGAAAGGUUCUGGUAACUAUCGAUUUGGUGGAAACGAGACGCAAAUCAAUCCAGUUUGCGAACAACACGAUUCGAAACACUGCAAUUCUUUUUAUUUUUUAUGAUAUUUUUCUUUUACUUAGGAGCACUCAAGAAGUAACCACAGGAAAUUUGAACUUAAACAAGUGAAGGACGUGGCCUGUGGAAUUUUUUGAAGAUUGCGAAAAAUAUGAAAAUAAAGUUUAGGAGGUGAAAACUCAAAUUUUCAGAGGCAAGUUUGGGAAUUCUAAAUUUGUCGCACCCGCCUAUGGCAGGGAUAGACAAAUCCAAAAAUUUUUUCUGAUUGAUUUUGAUAUUUGGAACGUCAAAAUCGGAGUUCGUAUGCGAAAGUUAUGGCUGUUUUACGAACGGACUCCGAAUUAGAGGACAAAACAGUGCGGAAGUGAGAAAAAUUUGAGGCGGUGGCUAUAAAUUGAUGGAAACGGUGGGAAGAAACACACAAAUUGGACUCUAACAACAAAUAACCAGUAACAACACCUCGACCAGGGCACAAACUCAACACUACGGACUCUGAAAACUGAAAUAUGCAAAGGCUAUGGCGCGGAUGGGUUGUAGGACAUGAAAACAAUAUAGCACCGGACUUAUGGGACGAACACAAGGGCACUCGAAACUAAGGGUAGAUGUGAACCUAACGGUAUGUCUGAAGCUUUGAUUACCACUUGAGGAGAAUAAGUGUGGCCCGAUCUUCCGAAAGGUUCUGGUAACUAUCAAUUUGGUGGAAACGAGACACAAAUCAAUCCAGCUUGCGAACAACACGGUUCGAAAACUUGCAAUUAUUUUUAUUUUUUUUGAUAUUUUUCUUUUACUUAGGAGAACUCAAGAAGUAACCACACGAAAUUUAAGCUUAAACAAGUGAAAGACGUGGCCUGUGGGAUUUUUUGAAGAUUGCGAAAAAUAUAAAAAAAACUUUAGGAGGUGAAAACUCAAAUUUCAGGGGGGAAUUUGGGGAUUCAAAAAUUAUCGAACCCGCCUCUAGCGGUGAUAGACAGAUCCAAAAAUUUGUUUUGAUCGAUUUUGAUAUAUGGAACGUCAAAAUCAGAGUUCGUAAGGAAAAGUUAUGGCUGUUUUACGAACGGACUCCGAAUUAGAGGACAAAACGGUCCGGAAGUGGGAAAAAUUUGCGGUGGUGGCUAGAAAUUGAUGGAAACGGUAGGAAAAAACACACAAACUGGACUCUAACAAGACCAAAUCAGUAACAAGACCUCAACCAGGACACAAACUCAACACUACGGACUCUGAAACUGAAAUAUGCAAAGGCUAUGGCGCGGAUGGGUUGUAGGACAUGAAAACAAUAUGGCACUAGACUUAUGAGACGAACACA